AAUUAUGGUCAAUGGGGGAAACCCUGAUCCAGCCAUCCCGUGAGUAGUAUGAAGGCCUUCGGUUUGUAAAGUACUUUUGUUAGAGAAUAAAAGGUAUCGACUAAUACGUGAUACUGUUGUCGGUAUCUGCAGAUUAUGUACCGGCUAACUACGUGCCAUCAUCCGCGGUAAUACGUAGGGUGCAAGCGGUAAUCGGAAUUACUGGGAGUAAAGCGUGUGUAGGCGGUUCGGAAAGAAAGAUGUGAAAUCCCAGGGCUCAACCUUGGAACUGCAUUUUUAACUGCCGAGCUAGAGUAUAUCAGAGGGGGGUAGAAUUCCACGUGUAGCAGUGAAAUGCGUAGAUAUGUGGAGGAAUACCGAUGGCGAAGGCAGCCCCCUGGGAUAAUACUGACGCUCAGACACGAAAGCGUGGGGAGCAAACAGG
rnacentral:rRNA from 1 species